CUUGGCCUGUUUGGAACCGCGUAGAGCAGAGUUCAUAUAGGCCUUCGUGUCCUUCGCUCGGGAUGUGCGGAACCGUGCCUCCGGGCAGGGACGGUAGCAAAUCUGGGAUCCCCCCCACAUACUGCAGAGUAAUGGGUCAGCUGGAAUUGCUCACAAGCCACCUCCACAGAACUGCAGGGCCAUCCGCAGCAGGGUGUGGGAAGAACCAUCACUGUGGUUAUGUUCAUCAGGGACUCAUCCUGUCCGUUCCCAGAGUCGAAUUCUUGGUUGGAGGGUGACAUGGAGUUCCCGGUGGAACUUGCUGCCUUUCACAGUCCAUUGGAGCUGGGAGUCAGAGACCUUCUUGUGUACCGCAACCCUCGCCAUGAACUGAUAACAGGGUGUGAACCUUCACCAGAGACCUCUGUGACUAAAGAACUAAAUCCAGGAACUGGGAUGAGUAGCAGGAAGUUAUUCUCAGACCUCUCAAUCUAUCAAGGCCCAAGUAUGGGACACAAUAUGUGACAAAGAUCCCAGAUGAGGAACACACACACAAAUUAUUAGUGCUGGAGACUUUAAAUGCUGUGGGUUCCCUUCUCCUAGUGUGAAUAACCCCCCUUCUGUACCCUCUGUUUCAUGAGUCUUUAUUUCUCAUUGUGAAUAACGUUCUACAACGAAAGUGAGGUGCCACCAUUUGGUAUGGAAUAUAGGUCACUUUAGAACUAGAAGCAGGCAUGGAAAAGCAAGACAGUGGAUCAGCCCCAGAGAGAGGGCACAUAACACACAUUGUACAGUGGGGUCCAGCUGUAAGACACACCAAUGAGUAUUUAGAUUGAGGGGAGCAAGCAGUCAGCUGCAUAGGAUGCGAUGGACUCCUUAUUCAGGCAAACUCAUGAAAAGUGUAAGAGCUCCACCUGUCUCCUCCUGACUCUUCUCAGCACCCUUGUGUUUAUAUUGCAUUUACUCACUCUGGCGCUGUUCAGUUAGCAUUAAAGCCAACCAAUAGGGAAACUGAGGCACAGAGCGGCAAAGUGAUUUGCCCACUGUCACACAGGAAGUCUCUAGCGGAGACCCAUGCCUCCUGACACCCAGUCCUUAGCCUGAAGUAUUAUUAUUAUUUAUUUGUAUUACCAUAGUGCUUGGGAGCUCCAGUCAUGGACCAAUGCCCCAUUGGAUUAGGUGGUGUAUAAGCUUCCUCCCAACAGCUAUAAAAAUCUUGGCCUGUGAGUGAUCUCGUGGGAAACAGGAUAAGCCCUCAUCACAGUGAUGAAGUUUACACUGUAUCAAGGUGGAAUACAGGAGGAAUGGAUGACUCAGGGUAUUGCUAAUGGGCAGUUGCCUCAACAUCCUGACCUGCACUCUAACAGACAUGCCAGUCGAGCUCUGGCAAAGUCCUCAAUCCUGACCUCAGAGCAGGUGACACAUAUGACCUCAAUGCAGUGAUAAAAACACCUGAGCCUGCAUGUGCCUUGUCUCCAUUCCAGCAUCCAAUGAAGCUGCACUGGUUGAGAAAUCCAGCUGAGAAGACUACUAAUGCAGUCCAGAGUUAUGCACAAAAGUGCAGAGGAAGAGAGUGGAGGCUUUUAGCGGUUGGGAAAUAAGGCCAAAGAAAGAAGAACAGGCACAUCAAUUACAUCCUAAAUAAAGAAAACUUAAGUGAAAGUCCUGGCUUCUAAAUUGUUUCUGGCCUGGCAGCUCUGUUCUCUUGGCAGAUGUAGCCUGAAGAAGGCUAAUGGGCCCAUUUAGGUUUUCCCUUUACACAAUGGCAUUGAGACAUUUCUGCCGUGGCAAAGGGGGUGUGUGUUAUUUCAGUUUCUUUCUUGAAAUCAGAUUGCAGAAUCUAUGUAAUAUUUUAAGGGCUCUGAUGAUCUCUGCUUGAGGAGGAUCUGCACUUCUCUGAGCAUUGAGCCAGGCGCCUCCCUCCAGUGUUGGCUGAGGGAAGAAAAUUGCAUGUGAAGUGCAAGGCUGACACCUGGAGGGGAACUGCUGAGAUGUAGCUAGCUAGGUCUUAAUGAGAAAGCCAGAAACUCCAUGCAAGAUGCAAACUCAGCUUCGGGAAUGUUGCAAGGGGAAGGAAAAGACCAGCUUCUUGGAUCCUGCCUCCUUUUCUAAUAAAGGAGUGGAGAUGAGUCUGAGAUGAGGCAAACUCUCCAUCCAAUCUGGAUCUGCGCUCCCUCACAGUUCAGGUGUGUUUGGAUCCAGGACCCAUCCCUACCUACCAGUUGUUUUGCACCAUCUAAG